rnacentral:rRNA from 1 species
AACGCUAGCUACAGGCUUAACACAUGCAAGUCGAGGGGCAGCAUAAAAGUAGCAAUACUUUGGUGGCGACCGGCGCACGGGUGAGUAACGCGUAUGCAACCUACCUAUCAGAGGGGGAUAACCCGGCGAAAGUCGGACUAAUACCGCAUAAAACAGGGGCACCGCAUGGUGCUAUUUGUUAAAAAUUUAUUGCUGAUAGAUGGGCAUGCGUUCCAUUAGGUAGUUGGAGAGGUAACGGCUCACCAAGCCUACGAUGGAUAGGGGAACUGAGAGGUUGGUCCCCCACACUGGUACUGAGACACGGACCAGACUCCUACGGGAGGCAGCAGUGAGGAAUAUUGGUCAAUGGGCGUGAGCCUGAACCAGCCAAGUCGCGUGAAGGAAGAAGGAUCUAUGGUUCGUAAACUUCUUUUGCAGGGGAAUAAAGUGCAGGACGUGUCCUGUUUUGUAUGUACCCUGAGAAUAAGGAUCGGCUAACUCCGUGCCAGCAGCCGCGGUAAUACGGAGGAUCCGAGCGUUAUCCGGAUUUAUUGGGUUUAAAGGGUGCGUAGGUGGUUUAAUAAGUCAGCGGUGAAAGUUUGCAGCUUAACUGUAAAAAUGCCGUUGAAACUGUUAGACUUGAGUGUAAAUGAGGUAGGCGGAAUGCGUGGUGUAGCGGUGAAAUGCUUAGAUAUCACGAAGAACUCCGAUUG